CGGAGGGUGCGAGCGUUAUCCGGAAUUACUGGGUUUAAAGGGUGCGUAGGCGGCUUGUUAAGUCAGGAGUGAAAGUUUGCGGCUCAACCGUAAAUUGCUUUUGAUACUGACAGGCUAGAAUUAGGAUGAGGUCAGCGGAAUGUGGCAUGUAGCGGUGAAAUGCAUAGAUAUGCCAUAGAACACCAAUUGCGAAGGCAGCUGACUAGACCUGGAUUGACGCUGAGGCACGAAAGCGUGGGAGCGAACAGGAUU
rnacentral:rRNA from 1 species